UACGAAGGGUGCAAGCGUUACUCGGAAUUACUGGGCGUAAAGCGUGCGUAGGUGGUUUGUUAAGUCUGAUGUGAAAGCCCCGGGCUCAACCUGGGAAUUGCAUUGGAUACUGGCAGACUAGAGUGCGGUAGAGGAUGGCGGAAUUCCCGGUGUAGCAGUGAAAUGCGUAGAGAUCGGGAGGAACAUCUGUGGCGAAGGCGGCCAUCUGGACCAGCACUGACACUGAGGCACGAAAGCGUGGGGAGCAAACAG
rnacentral:rRNA from 1 species